GGGGUUGUGACUCAGUGGUAGAGCGUCCGCUUUGCAUGCGGAAGGCCCGGGGUUCGAUCCCCGCAGCUCCA
rnacentral:tRNA from 1 species